GACGACGCUGGCGGCGUGGAUUAGCAUGCAAGUCGAACGGUAUCAUCCUUUCGGGGGUGAGAGAGUGGCGAACUGGUGAGUAACACGUAGGUUAUCUACCCUCAAGACGGGGGACAACCCAGGGAAACUUGGGCUAAUACCGGAUGUGAGCAACUUUUAGUUGUUUGAAAGGUGGCGUAAGCUGUCGCUUGGGGAUGAGCCUGCGUCCUAUUAGUUAGUUGGUGAGGUAACGGCUCACCUAGGCAAUGAUAGGUAGGCGGCCUUAACGGGUGGUCGCCCACACUGGGAUUGAGAUACGGCCCAGACUCCUACGGGAGGCAGCAGUCGAGAAUAGUCUACAAUGGUCGGAAGACUGAUAGUGCGACGCCGCGUGAACGAUGAAUCCCUUCGGGGUGUAAAGUUCUUUUAUAUGUGAGCAGUGCUUCUUAUAUUAACAGUAUGGGGAGAGAGAUAUUAGCAUAUGAAUAAGCAACGGCUAACUCCGUG
rnacentral:rRNA from 1 species